GAUGAACGCUAGCUACAGGCUUAACACAUGCAAGUCGAGGGACCGGCGCACGGGUGAGUAACACGUAUCCAACCUGCCCUUUACUCGGGGAUAGCCUUUCGAAAGAAAGAUUAAUACCCGAUGUAAAGGAUGGGGAUGCGUUCCAUUAGGUUGUUGGUGAGGUAACGGCACACCAAGCCUUCGCUGGAUAGGGGUUCUGAGAGGAAGGGCACCCACAUUGGAACUGAGACAAGGUCCAAACUGCGACGGGGAGAAGCAGUGAGGGAAAAUGGUCAAUGGGCGUUAGCCUGAAACAGCCAAGUAGCGUGAAGGAUGAAGGCGUAUGGUCGUAAACUUCUUUUAUAUAAGAAUAUGUAUUAUAUGAAUAAGGAUCGGCUAACUCCGUGCCAGCAGCCGCGGUAAUAC
rnacentral:rRNA from 1 species